UACGGAGGGGGGCUAGCGUUGUUCGGAAUUACUGGGCGUAAAGCGCACGUAGGCGGCUUUGUAAGUUAGAGGUGAAAGCCCGGGGCUCAACUCCGGAAUUGACUUUAAGACUGCAUCGCUAGAAUUUGUGGAGAGGUAAGUGGAAUUCCGAGUGUAGAGGUGAAAUUCGUAGAUAUUCGGAAGAACACCAGUGGCGAAGGCGACUUACUGGACACAUAUUGACGCUGAGGUGCGAAAGCGUGGGGGAGCAAACAGGG
rnacentral:rRNA from 1 species